ACCGCGGUAGCCCAGUUGGUAGUGGCGUCGGCAGUACAGAUUCCGAAGGUCGCAGGUUCAAAUCCCUGCCUGCGUCG